rnacentral:rRNA from 1 species
AACGAACGCUGGCGGCAUGCCUAACACAUGCAAGUCGAACGAAGCCUUCGGGCUCAGUGGCGCACGGGGGCGUAACGCGUGGGAAUCUGACCCUUGCUUCGGAAUAACAGUUAGAAAUGACUGCUAACACCGGACGAAGUCUUAGGACCAAAGAUAUAUCGGCAUGGAAUGAGCCCGCGUAGGAUAAGGUAGUUGGUGGGGUAAAGGCUUACCAAGCGGAGGAUCCUUAGCUGGGCAGAGAGGAUGAUCAGCCACACUGGGACUGGGACACGGCCCAGACUCCUACGCGAGGCAGCAGUGGGGAAUAUAGGACAAUGGACGCAAGUCUGAACGAGCAAGGCCGCGUAAGUGAUGAAGGCCUUAAGGUAGUAAAGCUCUAUUAACAGGGAUGAUAUUGACGGUACCUGGAGAAUAAGCCCCGGCUAACUCCGUG